GACGAACGCUGGCGGCGUGCCUAAUACAUGCAAGUAGAACGCUGAAGAGAGGAGCUUGCUCUUCUUGGAUGAGUUGCGAACGGGUGAGUAACGCGUAGGUAACCUGCCUGGUAGCGGGGGAUAACUAUUGGAAACGAUAGCUAAUACCGCAUAAAAUGGAUUAUCGCAUGAUAAUCCAUUGAAAGGUGCAAAUGCAUCACUACCAGAUGGACCUGCGUUGUAUUAGCUAGUUGGUGGGGUAACGGCUCACCAAGGCGACGAUACAUAGCCGACCUGAGAGGGUGAUCGGCCACACUGGGACUGAGACACGGCCCAGACUCCUACGGGAGGCAGCAGUAGGGAAUCUUCGGCAAUGGACGGAAGUCUGACCGAGCAACGCCGCGUGAGGGAAGAAGGUUUUCGGAUCGUAAAGCUCUGUUGUAAGAGAAGAACGAGUGUGAGAGUGGAAAGUUCACACUGUGACGGUAGCUUACCAGAAAGGGACGGCUAACUACGUG
rnacentral:rRNA from 1 species